CUAUGUCCUCACCCUCAGCCGCCACUUUUCCUAUUUUCUUAUUUCUUUCUUCCACCUUAAUUGUCAAGCCUUAAAUCACUGCAAGAAAGACAAAGAGGAAUAACAGGGUACAUACACUGCUUCUCUAUUUAUGAACAAAAUUUUUAACUUGUUGGUUGUCUCUUUCCAGGGUGCUCAAGAGAAAAGUGCCUUUGAGAAAUUGCAGUCCCUCUAAUGCCAAACUUUUAGUGAUUACGAAGAGUGCUUCAUAUAUUUUUGGAUGCAUGAAGAUCGAAGAUGCGGUGGCAAUAUGAAUCAUCAAGAAAUUACUUAUGUUCAUUUAAUGUGAAAUUCUGUACAUAUUUCUGAUCUCUGUUAUAAUUAAGCUUCGCAUUGGCUAGUUCUUUUCUUCAAAAUGUCAGAUACUAUUAAGUGAUUAGUACAUGUAUUUUGGAAUUUAUUUUGUGAAA